rnacentral:rRNA from 1 species
AUUGAACGCUGGCGGCAUGCCUUACACAUGCAAGUCGAACGGUAACGGGCCUUCGGGUGCCGACGAGUGGCGAACGGGUGAGUAAUACAUCGGAACGUGCCCGAUCGGGGGGGAUAACGAGGCGAAAGCUUUGCUAAUACCGCAUACGAUCUACGGAUGACAGCAGGGGACCGCAAGGCCUUGCGCGGACGGAGCGGCCGAUGGCAGAUUAGGUAGUUGGUGGGAUAAAAGCUUACCAAGCCGACGAUCUGUAGCUGGUCUGAGAGGAUGAUCAGCCACACUGGGACUGAGACACGGCCCAGACUCCUACGGGAGGCAGCAGUGGGGAAUUUUGGACAAUGGGCGCAAGCCUGAUCCAGCCAUGCCGCGUGCAGGAUGAAGGCCUUCGGGUUGUAAACUGCUUUUGUACGGAACGAAAAGCCUUCUUUUAAUACAGGAGGGUCAUGACGGUACCGUAAGAAUAAGCACCGGCUAACUACGUG